rnacentral:rRNA from 1 species
CGUCUUGAAACACGGACCAAGGAGUCUAACAAAUGUGCAAGCGUAUAUAUGUUUUUAACUAUACAAUAAAGAAAUUAUACUUUAUAAUUACGCGUAAUUAAUGUGACCAUUCUGGCUUAAAAACGGGUGUAGAUUAUACUGAAAUUGAAUUAUUUAUUUUUCACUUGAAGUAUAUGCAUACAAUACCAGUUAGCAAUUAUGCUUAAUUGAGUAUGAGUAUAUUUGUUAGGACCCGAGAGGCUUUGAACUAAGCGUGGUGAGAUUGAAGUCAGACGAAAGUCUGAUGGAGGAUCGAAUUGAUACUGACGUGCAAAUCGUUCAUUUCAAUCACGUUUAGGGGCGAAAGACUAAUCGAAAAGCCUAUUAGCUGGUUAUUUUCGAAAGAUCUCUCAGGAUCGCUGGAGUUGAUUAAUAUAGUUUUACGAGGUAGAGAUAAUGAUUAGAGGACUCAGGGAAACCAUUUCCUUGACCUAUUCUCAAACUCCCAAUGCGUAAUAAGGGAAUAAUAUCUUCAACUGUAUUUUUUCCACUUUAUAAAUAAAAUAACUCCAAGUGGGCCAUUUUUGGUAAGCAGAACUGGCGAUGAGGGAUGCUCCUAACGCUUGGAUAAGGUGCCUAAAUAUUCGCUCAUGAGAUCCCAUAAAAGGUGUUGGUUCAUAAUGACAGUAGGACGGUGGUCAUGGAAGUCGAAAUCCGCUAAGGAGUGUGUAACAACUUACCUACCGAAUGAACUAGCCCUGAAAAUGGAUGGCGCUAAAGCGAGUUACCGAUACCGAGCCAUAGAAGGAGAUUUAAAGUUUAAUUGAGGUAUUUUAUCCUUAUUAGGCUUUUCUUGAAUCUUUCUAUGAGUAGAAAAUCGUGGGGUUUGUGUCGAAGCAAUAUGCGUGAGCUAUUGUGGAACAUAUCCCUAGUGCAGAUCUUGGUGGAAGUAGCAAUUAUUCAAAUGAGAACUUUGAAGACUGAAGUGGAGAAGGGUUUCUUGUCAACUGUGAUUGUACAAGAGUUAGCCGCUCCUAAGGGAAAGCUGAAAAGCAUUUAAAUGGGGAUUUGGUGUUGCAAGCAAUUGUUGCAUCUUUUCUCUGUCUCAAAAGGGAAACAGGUUAAUAUUCCUGUGCCAAAGUUAUUUAGUUUAUUAAAGUAUAGUUGGUAACAUAAAUUAGAACUCCUUAACAUAGGUUUUACGAUCGAGAUGCGUUAUCUUUGCAUUUUAACUUUAUAGCAGACCUCGGAAUCAAAUUAAUUGGAGAACAGGUUUGUUGAAUUGCAAUUCAGGGUUUUUUUAAGUGCUGGGAUAAUAUAUAAGUCCCCAUUCUAAAAAAUUCGGUUUUGUAGUAAUAGUAAUUCAAUUUAUGGAUUAUUCGAUAUGUAAGAACUAUCCUUGAAAAAAGGGGGGAACAGCGAUUAUAAUGGAGGAUGGAUAUAAUACAAAUUAUAUAUAAUUAUGUAUUUAUCUAUGUAUACGUUAUAUUUGCGCAUUAACAUAAAAUUACUUAUGAGCGUACCCACAACCGCAUCAGGUCUCCUAGGUUAAUAGCCUCUGGUUAAAUAGAAAAAAGUAAGUAAGGGAAGUCGGCAAAAUAGAUCCGUAACUUCGGGAAAAGGAUUGGCUCUGAGGACAUAAGAGUAGAGAGAAGUUUGAAGUAUCAUUUAAAAUAAGAUAUAAAGAAUACUUCAUGGUUCGCCGUGAUGCAUUUUUACAUUAUCUUGUUUUUCAGAAUGGUAUUUUGUUCUAUCCCUCUAUUCGCCGCUGUUUUGGUCGUCACUUCGGUGGCGGCUUUAAUGGCUCUAUAAUGUUAACUCAGAACUGAAACGGACAAGGGGAAUCCGACUGUUUAAUUAAAACUUAGCUUUGUGAUAGCCAGAAAUGGUAUUAACACAAAGUGAUUUCUGCCCAGUGCUUUGAAUGUCAACUUGAUGAAAUUCAAUGAAGCGCAGGUAAACGGCGGGAGUAACUAUGACUCUCUUAAGGUAGCCAAAUGCCUCGUCAUCUAAUUAGUGACGCGCAUGAAUGGAUUAACGAGAUUCCCACUGUCCCUACUUGCUAUCUAGCGAAACCACAGCCAAGGGAACGGGCUUGGCCAAAUCAGCGGGGAAAGAAGACCCUGUUGAGCUUUACUCUAGUCUGGCUUUGUGAAACGACUUAAGAGGUGUAGUAUAAGUGGGAGUAGAGAUUGAAAUAUAUUUUCUACGUCAAUGAAAUACCACUACUUUUAAAGUUGUUUUACUUAUCUGUUUAUAGGGAAAUAUAUUUAUACAGGCCAAGAAUUUCGGUUUUUGAUGCUUGAUAUAUCUAAUAUUAUUUGAAUUUAAUGGGGCCUUACGGCUUUCAUUAUUCUCCCGCACUAUGGAGACAUAGCCAGGUGGGGAGUUUGACUGGGGCGGUACAUCUGUUAAACAAUAACGCAGAUGUCCAAAGACAAGCUCAAAGAGAACAGAAAUCUCUUGUAGACUAAAAGGGGAAAAGCUUGUUUGAUUUCUAUUUUCAGAAAAAGUAGAAAACGUGAAAGCGUGGCCUAUCGAUCCUUUAUUAUUGCAAAAUUAUAAGACUUGUUCUUUACUGUGCAUAUAGAGGUGUCUGAAAAGUUACCACAGGGAUAACUGGCUUGUGGCUGCCAAGCGCUCCUAGCGACGUAGCUUUUUGAUCCUUCGAUGUCGGCUCUUCCUAUCAUUGGGACGCAGAAGUCCCAAAGUGUCGGAUUGUUCACCCGCUAAUAGGGAACGUGAGCUGGAUUUAGACCGUCGCGAGACAGGUUAGUUUUACCCUACUGAUGAAUUUAUUCUUUUUAAUGUAUUGUGACAGUAAUCCAACUUGGUACGAGAGGAUUAGUUGGUUCAGACAUUUGGUACAGCGAUUGGUUGACAAACCAUUGUCGCGAAGCUACGUCUGUUGGAUAAUGACUGAACGCCUCUUAAGUCAGAACCCAUGCUGAUUAAACAAUACUAUUGGUUCUUUUUUGUCCACUUUUACAAUAUAAAUGUAAGAGAGAAAAAAUAUGUACUCAUACUAGCAAGUUUUGUAUGAAUGCAACUAUUCCCAUGGCCCAUUAGGAUCUGGUAUUCUUUUGGGUAUUACUAAUUUAACAACGAAAAAGACAUACACAAAUUGUAGACGACUUUUAUAUCUUAAGGUGCUGUAAACAUGAAAGUAAACCUUGUUUUACGAUCUGUUGAGGCUAAUCCUUUAUGAUAAAGUGUUU